rnacentral:rRNA from 1 species
AGUGAACGCUGGCGGUAGGCCUAACACAUGCAAGUCGAACGGCAGCACAGUAAGAGCUUGCUCUUACGGGUGGCGAGUGGCGGACGGGUGAGGAAUACAUCGGAAUCUACUUUUUCGUGGGGGAUAACGUAGGGAAACUUACGCUAAUACCGCAUACGACCUACGGGUGAAAGCAGGGGAUCUUCGGACCUUGCGCGAUUGAAUGAGCCGAUGUCGGAUUAGCUAGUUGGCGGGGUAAAGGCCCACCAAGGCGACGAUCCGUAGCUGGUCUGAGAGGAUGAUCAGCCACACUGGAACUGAGACACGGUCCAGACUCCUACGGGAGGCAGCAGUGGGGAAUAUUGGACAAUGGGCGCAAGCCUGAUCCAGCCAUACCGCGUGGGUGAAGAAGGCCUUCGGGUUGUAAAGCCCUUUUGUUGGGAAAGAAAAGCAGCAGGUUAAUACCCCGCUGUUCUGACGGGACCCAAAGAAUAAGCACCGGCUAACUCCGU